UUCAAGUGAGGUCAGAGCUGCUGUGGAUUAAUGUCAUCAGUUCAGCCGCUCUUGUCGCGCUUGACAC
rnacentral:pre_miRNA from 1 species